GGGCGGGUCUCCCACCUAAAGGGGCGAGUCCCCUCUAACCUGGCUGCACUGGUUUACUAGCUUUGCCUGACACCCAGGUUGGUUGGGUCUCUCACCUGGAGGGGCAAGUCCACUCAACCCUGGCUGAGGUGCAAAGGAUCUUCCUCUGACACCCAGGUGGGAGGGUCUCCAGCCUGGAUAGGAGAAUACCUUUGAUACUGGCUGUAGUGGUAUAAGAGCUCCCCCCUACACCCAGAUGGGAGGGGUCUCCCACCUCAAGAGGUGAGUCCCAUCUACCCUGCUUGUGGCAGUAUAUGAACUCCCUGACAACCCGGUGGAAGGGAUCUUCCACCUGGAGGGUCGAAUCCCCUCUCCCCUGGCUUUGGAGAUAUAGGAGCUUCCCGGACACCCAGUUUAUGUGGUCUCCUGACUGGAGGGGCAAGUCCCUUCUACACUGGCUGCAGGGUAUAUGAACAAAACCCAACACCCAUGUGGGAGUGAUCUCCGGCUUGCAAGUCUGCUCUACCAUGGCUAAGGUGGUAUACAAGCACCCUCCUAUUCAUAGGUGGGAGUAGUCUUCAACAUGGACAGGUAAGUCCUCUCUACCCUGGCUUUGGCAGUAUAUAUGGUCCCCCCAACACCAGGUGGGAGGGUUAUCCUACCUGGAAGUGCGAGUCCCCUCUACCUUGACUGCUGUGGUAUAGGAUCUCCCCUGACACCCAGUGGGAAGGAGUCUCUGGCCAGGGGCCUAGAGUACCCUGUACUCUGCUGCAAUGGGAUAAGAGCUCCCCAGGACAACCAGGUGGAAGAGGUCUCCUGUCUGGAGGGUAGAGUUCCCUCUACCCCACCUUUGGAGGUAUAAAAGCUCCCCGGAAACUGAAGUGGGAGUAUUCUCCAACCCUGAAGGAGAAAGUAUGCUCUACUGUGGCUGUGGUGGUAAAAGAACUUCCCCUGACACCCAGGUGAGAGGGUUCUCCUGCCUGGAGUGGCGAGUCCCUUCUAUUCUCUCUGUGGGGGUAUAUGAGCUCCCCUGACACCCUGGUUGGAGGGAGGGGCAAGUACUUUCUUCCCUGGCUAUGGUGGUAUAAGAUCUCCCACUGACAGCCAGGUUGGAGGGGUAUCCUGCCUGGAUGGGAGAGACUCCUCUAACCUGGCUAAGGUAGUAUAAAAGUUCCCUUUGAUACCCAGUUGGGAGGGUCUCCUGCCUGAAGGGGCAAGUCCCCACAACCUUGGCUGCAGUGGUUUACUAGCAUUCCCUGUCACACAGGUUGGAUGUGUCCCUCACCUGGAGGGAUGAGUCCCCUGUACCCAGGCUGUUUGGUAAAGGAUCUCCCCUUAAAACCAUGGUGGGAGGGCCUCUGGAUUGGAGAGGCUAGUCUGCUCUAUACUGGUUGCAGUAGUAUAUGAGUUCCCCUACACCCAGUUGGGAGGGGACAUCCCUCUUGGGUUGAGAGUCCCCUCUACCCUGCCUAUGGCAAUACAUGAACUGCCCUGACAACCAGGUGGAAGGGAUAUUCCAUUUGGAGGUUUGAGUCCCCUCUCCCCUGUGUCUGGUGAUAUAGGAGCUCCCCCCCAAACAACCAGGGUAUGGGGUCCUCUGCCUGGACGGGCGAGUCCCCUCUACCCUGGCUAAGGUGGUAUAGAAGUUAUUCCCAUUCCUAGGUGGGAGGUGUUUCUCGCCUGGAGGAGUGAGUUGCCUCUAACCUCGUUGCUGGGGUAUAUAAACUCCACCUGACAGGUAGGUGGGAGAGGUCUUCUGCCUGGAUGGGCGAGUCCUCUCUACUCUGGCUCCAGUAGUUAAGGAGCUUCCCCUGACACCAAGGUGGGAGGGUUAUCCUGCUUAAAAGGGUGACUUCCGUCUACCCUCUGUGUGGGGUUUUAACGGCUCUCCCAGACACCAGGUUGGAGGGGUCUCCUGCUUGGAGGGGCAAGUCCACUCUACCAUGGCUGCAGUGCUUUACUUGCUUUCCCUGACACCUGGGAUGGAUGGGUCUGAAGGGGCGAGUCUCCUCUACCCUUGCUGCUGGAGUAAGUUAUCUCCCCCUGAUAUCCAUGUGGGAUGGACUCCAGCCUGGAGAGGCAAGGCCCCUCUAACCUGGCUGCAGUGGUAAAGGAGGUCCCUCCUACACUGAGGUAUGAGGGGUCUCCCGCCUCCAGUGGUGAGUCCACUCAACCCUGCUUGUGGGAGUAUAUGAACUCUCCUGACAACCAGGUGGAAAAGUUAUUUCACCUGGAGAUUUGAGUCCUCUCUCCCCUGUCUCUUUCGGUAUAGGAUCUUCCAGGAAACCAAGGUUAUGGGGUCAGAAGAAUGGAGGGGUGAGUCCCCUCUACCUGGGCUAUGGUGGUAUAGGAGUUACCCCCAUCCCCAAGUGGUAGGUGUCUCUCGCUUGGUGGUGCAAGUUGUCUCUAUCAUGGCUGCUGGGAUAUGUGAGGUCACCUGACACCCAGGUGGGAGGUGUCUUCCAUCUGGAGGGGCUAGUCCCCUCUACCCUGGCUAAGGCAAUAUAGAUGUUACUCCCAUUACCUGGUGGGAAGUGUUUCUCACCUGGAGGUGCGAGUUGCCUCUACCCUGGUUGCUGGGGUAUAUGAACUCCACCUGACACCCAGUGGGAGGGGUCUUCUGCCUCAAUAGGCAAGUCCUCUCUACCCUGGCUCCAGUAGUUAAGAAGCUUCCACUGACACACAGGUGGGAGGAUUAUCCUGCGUAGAAGGGUGACUUCCCUCUACCCUAUGUGUGGGGUUUUUCCAGCCCUCCCAGACACCAGGUUGGAAGGGUCUCCUGCUUGGAGGGGUGAGUCCCCUCUACCCUGGCUGAGGUGGUUUACUUGCUUUCCCUGACACCCGGGAUGGAUGGGUCUGAAGGGGUGAGUCCCCUCUACCCUUGCUGUGCAGUGAAUUAUCACCCCCUGACAUCCAGGGAAGCCUCGCUACCCUGGCUGUGGCAAUAUAUGAACUCCCCUGACAACUAUGUGCAAGGGAUCUUCCACCUGGAGGGUUGAUUCCCCUCUACCAUGGGUCUGCUGGUAUAGGAGCUGCCCCCUGACAACCAAGUUAUGGGGUCUUCUGCCUGGAGGGGUGAAUCCCCUCUACGCUGGCAGUGGUAUAGGAGGUACCCUCCAUACUGAGUUGUGAGGGGUCUCCUGCCUCCAGAGGAAAGUUCCCUCUACCCUGCUUGUGGGAGUAUAUGAACUCCCCUGACAACCAGGUGGAACAGAUAUUCUGCCUGGAGGUUUGAGUCCCCUCUCCUCUGGCUCUGUCGGUAUAGGAGCUCCCCAGACACCGUGGUUAUGGGGUCAGAAGAAUAGAGGGGUGCAUCCCCUCUGCCCGGGCUAAGGCAGUAUAGGAGUUACCCCCAUCCCCAAAUGGUAGGUGUCUCUCGCCUGGAGGUGCGAGUUGCCUCUACCCUGGCUGCUGGGGUAUAUGAGGUCCACUUGAUACCUAUGGGUCUUUCACCUGGAGGGUCAAGUCUCCUCUACUCUGGCUGUAGGGGUUUACCUGCACUCCCAGACACCCACGUGGGAGGGGUCUCCUGCUUUGAGGUGCGAGUCCACUCUCUUCUGGCUGCUGUGGUAUAGGAGCUCCCCUACCAUACUAACAUAGGAGGGUCUCCCGCCUGAAGGGGCGAGUCCCCUCUACCCUGGCUGCAAUGGUAUAUGACCUUUCCCUAAUACCCAGGUUGAAUGAGUCUCUCUCCUGGAGGGGCAAUUUCCCUGUACCAUGGCUGCUGCGGUAAAGGAUCUCCCCCUGACACCCAGGUGGGAGAGGUCUCCUGCCUGCAGUAGUGAGUAUUCCCUACAAUGGCUGAGGUGGUAUAUAAGCACCUCACUACACAGAGGUGAAAGUGGUGUUCUGCAUGGACAGGUGAGUCCCCUCUACACGGUCUUUGGAAUUUUACAAGCUCUCUGGACACCCAUGUGGGAGGGGUAUCCCACAUGGAAGGGCGAAUCCCCUCUACUUUAGCUCUUGCUAUGUAUGAGCUCUCAGUACAUCCAGGAGGGAGGGUCUUCUGCCUGCAGGGGCAUGUUCCCUCUACCCUGGCCGUGCCAGUAUAGGAGCUCCCCCUCACACCCAGGUGAAAGGUGUCUCCCGCUUGUAGGGGUGAGUCCACUCUACACUGGCUGCUGCAGUAAUCAAGCUCCCCUAGACACCCAUGUGGGAGGGGUCUCCUGACUGGAAGGGCAUGUCAUCUCUCCCCUGGCUGCAGCUGUAUAAGAACCCUCCUGACACACAGAUGGGAGGGUUCUUCCUUCAAGAGGAGGAAGUCCCCUCUACCCUGACUUCAGGAGUAUAGGAACUCCCCAGGACACCCAGGUGGAAUGGAUCUCCCUCCUGUUGGGGUGAGUCUCCUUUACCCUGGUUGUGGCUGUAUAGGAUCUCCCACACACACAUGCAGGUGUGAGGGGUCUCCCGCCUGGAUGAGCAAGUCCCCUCUUCCUUUGCUGUGGCGGUAUAAGAUAUCCCCUUGACACAAUAGGGGAAGUCUCUCCAUCCUGGAGCAGUGAGUCGCCUCUACCCUGGUUGUGGAGGUAUACAAGCUGCCCCAGACACCCAGUAGGAGGCAUCUCCUGCAUGGAGGGGCGAGUCCACUCUAUCCUGGCUGUGGUGGUAUAUGAGCUCCCACUGACACCCUGGUGGGAGGGGUCUCCCGCCAGAAGGGACAAGUAUUUUCUACCAUGGCUGGGGUGUUAUAUGAGCUCCAGAUGACAGCAAGGUUAGAGGGGUCUCCUGCCUGGAUGUGCAAGCCUUCUCUACCCUGUCAAAUGUUGUCUACAUGUUCCCCAGGAUACCAUGGUGGGAGAAGUCUCCUGCCUGGAAGGGUGAGUCCCCACUACUCUGGCUGCAGCAGAGUAGUUUCCCUAUGGGAAACACAGCCUUGCAACUUGCCUGAACCUUGAGGCCUGGCAGUUUACAUGGAUGUGCUCCAACACAGCCGUGAGUGAUCCCCUCCCUUUCCUCUGGUCUUCCUUGCUGCCCCUACAGCAACCCAGUCCUCCCUAACUCUGAACACAUGUGCUGCUGUCCCUGGGCCUGUUCAUUCACCUGAACCUUGACCACAUUCUUCAUAGUCCUUGGCAUAGCAAGGAGUCUCUUCGUGUAGGUUCUGACAAGGGGGGGCCCUUUCUUUGACCUGCCAAUGGGCUCCCCUAGGUGCCCCUUGGCUUCUCCUGGUCCUCACACAGCCCCUUUCUCCCUUUCCCCUGUGCCGCUUUCUGGUGCUUGCAGGUCUCCUGCUCUUUGGGUCCCCCAUCACCUUUGAUCAGGUGGGUCCCUUGCCUGGGUGCCUGGCUUGGGUCCUGGGUCUGGCUCCUAUGUGCACCAACCCAACCCCUUUACAUGCCCUCUUGUCACAGUUCUUCUGGACCCCUCCCAGUUCUUGGGCACCUUUCCCAGGCUCUAGCAGAAGGUUCACAUCUGAUCCAAGGUGCCAUAUGGAAAACAAUGCCCUGGCCCUCAUCUAGGCCCCUGCUCUUCCUGGGACUUGGUCCAGCACCAGGAACCCUGAAACCCAGAGGUGGCCCUUGGCCUGGAGCCUGAUUGCCCCCUGCUGGAUCCCCUGUCUUCCUUCCCAAAUGUAAUCCCCUGUCCUGAGACCCCUGCCCAAGCACUGGCCCUUGGCUCUCCAUUCCCUGGCCUGGCUUUUUGCUUUAGCCUCUGGUGGCCCUUCUUGAUCACUGCUUUUCUGGGCAUUCUCUGAGGGCCCCAUGCUAGGGCUGCUUCCCUGCUCCCCUUGGAAUUCCUGGAAUGCAGAAACCCAGUGCAGCCCUGCCUUCCUGGCCUGGCGUUCCUUGCUCUGCCCUGUUCUGGGCCCUCUUCUAGGUCCCUUGUCUUGGCUCCUUGCUGAGGUCCUGGCCCCCAUCCCACCCAAACCCGUCCUGCAACCCUUCAAGCUGUGCCCUGCUUUGGCCCUCCUGUCCUUUCUAUCUCUGCCACACCUGCUUUCUUGAUCCCAUUCCCAGGAUGCUCACCCAGGCCAGCCAACGUGAUUUGGCCUCCUGGCCCUGGGGGCUUCCUUUGGAAACCAUAGCCCUGCCCCUUUCAUGAGCCCUUUGGUCUCCCUAAGCUCCGGACACCUGACACCCUGUAGUGGAUCUGGGCCUUGAGCCAUUCUCCCCCUGUGCCACCAACUCCACUUUCUCCUAUCCUGCUGUUCCUCCCCCAUGUUUCUGUUCAUUAUCCCAGGCCCAGGUGCUAGCAUUUGGUUCUCCUUUACUCAGCCCAGCUCUUUGCUUGAGAACCUGAGCCAUUCGCCUCUUCUUGAGGACCAUUUCCCUUUCCUCUGAUUUCAGGGCCCUUUUGCCUUGCCUCUCCUUUACCUCCCCUCUGAUACCCUCAGGUUGUGAUAUGCUGGCACUGCCCAGAUCCUCCACUCUCCCUGCUUCUCCCUACCCUGUGUUGCUGGAAUGGGUCCUGAAGCCACCUCAAAUUCUGCAUAUCAGAUAUCCCCUCAAGUACCCUCUUCAGCACUCAUUUCUUGGGUCCAGGUCGCUCUCUGAGGAUCUUCUCACUUGGGGCAGAGGAGCAGAAUUGGCUCGCCUCUGCGGCCUGAAUGUUCCCUAUGGGAAACAGAGCUCUGCCCCUCUCCUGAGUCCCCCUCACUACCUGAAUCUUGAAGCCUGACAUUUAACAUGGACGUGCUCCAACCCAGCCCUGAACAAUCCUCUCCCUUCCCUCCAGCCUUCUAUUCUGCCUCUACCACAACCCAGCCCUCUCUAACCCUGAUAAUUUGUGCUGCAGUCCCUGGGCCUGGGCAUUCACCUGAGCCCCUGAGUGUGUUCCUCAUGGUCCUUGGCAUAGUAAGGAGUUUCAUUGUGUUGGAUCUGGCCUGGGGGAUCCUUGUUUGUGCCCACCAGUGAGCCCCCAUUAGGUGCCCCUUGGCUUCUACUGGUCCUCAUGCAGAGCCUUUCUCCCCUUUUCCUUGUGCCUUUUUCUGGGGCUCAGAGGUCUCCUGCUACUUCAGUCCCCCAUCACCAUUGAUUGGGUGGUUCCCUUGCCUGGGCACCUGUCUUGGGUCCUGGGUCUCACCCGUAUGCGCACCCACUCCUACUCCCUUGCAUGCCCUCCCCUCGCCCUCCUUCUGGCCCUCCUUUUCCUGGCCUCCUUAGCCAGGACCAUGACCAAAGGUUCCUAUCUGAUGCAGGGCUCCUUAUGGGAAACAAUGCCCUUGCCCUUAUCUGGGACCCUUGCUCUCCCUGGGUGCUUGGUCGUUCACCAGGAACCCUGAAACCUGGAGGUGGCCCUCGGACUGGAUCCUUACUUCCCCCUGCUGGAUCACCUGUCUUCCUUCCCAAAUGUAAUCCACUCUCCUGAGCCCCCUGCCCAAGCCCUGGCCUAUGGCUCUACGUUCCCUGGCUUGGCUUCUCACUUGAGCGUCUGGUGGUUCUUCUUGCUCAGUGCUUUUCUGGGCAUUGUCUGAGGGCCCCUCACUGGGGCCACUUCCCUGCUCCCCUUGGCUUUCCUGUGCUUCAGUACUCUAGUGCAGUUUUACCUUCCCUGCCCAUCUUUCCUUCUAGGUCCUUUGCUGGGGCUCCUUGCUGGGGUUCUGGCUCCUAACCCACCCACACCCAUCCUACGGCCCUUCAGGUUGUGUCCUUCUUUGGCCCUCCUGUCCUUUCUGUCUCUGCCAUGCCCGCUCUUCUGAUCCCUUUCCCAGGAUGCUUACCUGGGCCAGAAGAUAUGACCCUUGGAAAAAUGUAGUCAUGCCCCUUGCCUGGGGGCUUCAAAUCUCAGCCAGUAUCCUGCUCCUAUUCCCUGACACCCUGUCUUGGAACUGGGCCUUGAGCCCUCCUCCCGCUGACCCGUGCCAGCCACUCCCUUUUCUCCCUUCCUAUUCCAUGUUUCUUUUCAUUCACCCAGGCCUAGGUGCUAGCACUUCGCUCCCCAUUACUGGGCCCUGCUCUUUGCUUCAUUCCCUGGCUGCCAGAGGAUUUGACCUUUGGGAAAACAUAGACCACCUUCUUGCUAGGCACUUUUGCCUCCCUCAGCCUGUCCAUACUCCUGAAGCCUGACACUCUGCACAGGACUUGGGCCUUGAGUCCUCCUCCCCCUGUGCCAGCCAGUCCCCUUUCUCCCCUCCUGCCCCUCCCUAUCCAUUUUUCUUUUCAUUCAACCAGCUGCUGGUGCUAGUUCUUGGCUCUUCAUUACUGGGCUCUGCUUCUUGCUUGAGCCCCUGGCUGCCCUUCUCGAGGACCUGGUCCCUCUCCCUUGGUUUUGGGCCUCUUUUGCCAGCCCUCUCCUGUUACUCCCCUCUGUUCCCCUCAUGCUGAGGCAUCCUGGCACUGCACAGACCAUCAGCUACCCCUAUUCACUCAAGCCUGGUCUCAUUAAAUGGGUACUGCAGCUCACCAACCCCCCAACCUCUGCACGCCAGGUAUCCCCUCACAGUGCCCUCUUGCCCCUCAUUGGUCCAGGUCCAUCUCUGAGGAUCUAUUCACCUCAGGCAGGGAAAUGGAAUUGGCUCACCUCUGCUCCCUGAAUGCUUCUUAUAGGAAACACAGUCCUGCCACUCGCAUGAUUCGCCUUCACUGCCUGAAACUUGUGGCCUCAGAGUUAAGAGGGGACUUGCUCCAACCCAGCCCUGAGCAAUCCCCUCCCUUUUCUCCCCUGCCCUCUGGACUUGCAUGCUGCCCGUACUCCAACCCAACCUUCCCUAACCCAGGCCCUUGGCUCUCCUGUCCCUGUCUUGUGCACUCUCCUGAGCCCAUGGUGCUUUCCUCAUGUCUCUUCGCAUAGCAUGGAGUCUCUUUAUGUUGGAUCUCACCUGGGGACCCCUUGAUUGGGCCCGUCAGAGGGCUCCCCUAAGUGCACCUUGAGCUUCCCUCUGUCUCAUCGUUGUUGUGAAGCUCAUCUUUCCCAUCCACUUGUGAAUUCCCCUGGUGAUCGUGAGUCUUCUGCUCCUUAGGUCCCUUGUCCUAGGUUGGUCGGGUGGAUACUUUAUCUAAGAACCUUGCUACUAUCCUGGCUCUCCUCCCACCACACACCAUUACCCCCAGUGGUGCCCUCCCAUAGCCUUCUGGUCCCCUUCCAUUGCCAGGUCUCCUUUGCCAUGUCCCUCUCCAAGGAUUCUCAUCUGGGCCAGUGCAACUUAUGAAAAAAAGAGCCCUGCACUCGCCUGGGCCAUUUACUCUCUGGGUGCCUAGUCCUCCACCAGGAACUCUGACACCUGAUAAUGACCCUGCUGGAUUCCCUGCCUUCCCUUCCAAUUCUUGUUCACUGUCCUAGGCCCCCUUCCCAACCUCUGUCCCUUGGCACUCCAUUUCCUUGUCUGGCUCCUCACUUGAGCCUCUGGUGGCCCUUCUUGUUCCUUUCUUUUUUGAGCUUUGUCUGAGGGCCCUCACUGGAGAUGCUUCUCUCCUCCCCUUGGCUUCCCUGUACUGCAGUACCCUAGUGCAUCCAUGACUUACUGGCCCUGCCCUUCAAUGUUCUUCCCUGGCCUGGGCCCUCCACUAGGUCCCUUGUCUUAGAUUCUUCCUGGGGUCCUGGCAUCCACCCCACCCAGAUCCAUCCUGAGGCCCUUGAGACUGUGCAUUCCUUUGGCCCUCCUGUCGUUUCUGUCUCUCCCAGGCCCAUUUUCCUGAUCCCGUUCCAGGAUGCUCAUCAGGCCAGAUGUUUGACCUGAUCUCAUGGCCCUGUGGGGUCCCAUUGAGAACAUGUAGCCCUGCCCCUUUUAUAGGCUUUUUGGCUUCUUGCAGCCCAUAGCCUAUUACCCAAUCCUGACACACUGCAUUGAGGCUUCAGCCUUCCUCCCACUGUGCCACCUGCUCAGAUUUCUCCCCUCCCUCCACUCACCAUACAUAUCCAUUUUCAUUCACCCUGCCCCAGGUGCUAGCACUUGGCUCUUCUUACUGGGCAUGGCUCCUUGCUUGAGUCCCUGGCAGAACUUCUUGAGGACCCUUGCAUUUCCCUUGGUUUCAGGCCUCUUUUUAUAGACCCCAUUCUGUGCUUCCCGUCUGUUCCACUGCUGCUAUGGUAUCCUGGAACUGCCUGGACCCUUAGCUCUCCCUUCUCCUCCCUAGCCUGGGCUCCUAGAAUGGGUCUUGGCUGCCAACUGACCACCCCCACAACAUCCAUACAACAGGUAUCCCCUCACAAUGCCCUCUUUUGACCCUACUUUGGUCCAGGUCCCUCUCUGAGGGUCUACUCACCUGGGUAGAGGAGCCAUAUUGGCUGGUCUCUGUGCCCUUAAGGCAUCCUAUGGGAAAUACAGCUCUGCCUCUUGCCUGAGUCCCCUUUGCUGCCUGAAACUUGAGGCCUGGCAGUUAACAUGUGACUUGCUUCAACGUGUCCCUGAGAGACCCACUCCCUUCCCUCCCCUGUUCUCUGGCCUUGUAUGCUUCCCCUACCCCAACCCAGCCCUCCCUAACCCUGACAUUUUGCGCUUCAGUCCCCAGGCCUGAUGUUCACAUGAGCCUCUGACAGUGUUCCUCAUGUCACUUGGUGUACCAUGGAGUCUCUUCCUGUUGGAUCUGACCUGGGGACCUGUUUCUUGGGACUGCCAGCAUGCUCCCUUAGGUUCCCCUUGUGCUUUUCUCUGUCUCCUUGUCCUUGCACACCCCUUUCUCCCCUUCCCCUUGCGCUUUCCCUUAGAACUUGCAGAUAUCCUGCUCCUUGGGUCAAUAAUCCAUGGUGGGUAAGAUAGGUCCUUUGCCUGGACACCUGGCUUGGAUCCUGGAUCUGCCCACCCAUAUUCCAACCAACCGCAAACCUUGCCCUCCCAUUGCCCUCAUCCUGACCGCCAUCACUUGCCAGUCCUUCUUUGCCAGGUCCCUGUCCCUGGAUUAUCAUCUGAGCCAAGGUGCCUUAUGGGAAAUUGAGUCCUGCCCCUUGCCUGGGCCCUUUGUUCUCUCUGGGUCUUUGGUCCUGCACCCGGAACCCUGACAUCUGGCAGUUUCCCUGGGCCACGAGCCUGACUGCCCCCUGCCAAAUCCCCUGCCAUCCCUCUAAAGUCUUGUCCACUGUCCUGAGCCCUCUGCCCAAGCCCUGUCCCUUGGCUCUACAUUCCCUGGCCUGCCUCCUCACUUGAGCCUCUGUGUGCCCUUCUUGCUCCGGGUUUCCCUGGGCUUGGAUUGCGGGCCUCGCUGGGCUAGUAUCCUACUCCCUUUGGCUUCCCUAAACCUCAGAACCCUACAGUCACCCGCCUGCCCAGCCUCUUCCUUCCCUUACCUUUCCUGGCCUGGGCCCUCCUGUUGGUCCCCAGCCUGGGCUCUUUUCUAAAGUCCUGGCCCGCACCACAUCAAAACCCUUCCUCUGGCCUUUCACACUGUUCCAUCCUUCAUCCCUCCUGUUGUCUCUGUCACUGCUGGGCCCCUUUUAAACAUCCCUUUCCCAGGAUGCUCACCAGGUCCAGGGAACUGGAUAUCGGCAUUUGGCCCUGUGGGCUCCCUUUGGGAAAAUGUAGCUGUGCCCCUUUCCUAGUUCUUUGGAAUCUCUGCACAGGCCCUGCUCCUCGUUCCUGACACCCAGCAGUGAACCUAGGACUUGAGCUUUCCUCUCCAUCCGCCACCCACUACCCUUGUUCCCUUUUCUCCUCUCCCCAUCCCUGUCUGCUUUCACAAGACUAAGGACAGGUCCCAGCACUUGGUUCCCCAUGCUUGGGCCUGGCUCCUUGCUGAAGGCUCUGGUUGCCCUUCUUGAGGACCCCACCACUGUCCCUUGAUUUCAGGCCCCUUUCUUGGCCCCUACUCUUCCUCCCGUCUGUUCCCCUUGUACUGUGGUGUUUCAUCAUUGCCAGGACCCUGCCCUCCCCCUGCUUCUCCCUAGCCUUGGCUCCUCCAAUGGUUGCUGGUUACCCACCAACUCUCUCCUAAUCGUGGACCAAAGGUAUCCCUCACAUUGCCCUCCAAUGGUCCUGGCAGAGGAGUGAAAUUGGCUGGCCUCUGGGCCCUAAAGGAUCCAAAUGGGCAACACAGCCCUACUUCUAGCCUGGGCCCCGUUUGCUCUCCAAACCUGAUAACUGGCAGUGGACAUGGGCGUAGUGAUGACUUUACUAUGGGUGAUCCGCUCCCUUCCCUCUCCUGCCCUCUAGCCUUUCAAGCUGCCUCUAAGUCAACCCAGGCCUUCCUCACCCUAAACCUUUGCCUUACAAUCACCUGCUCUGGUUGCCAGCCUGAGCUCCUUACUGCAUUACUCAGGUUGUGUUGCUUUCUGUGGUUUUGACUGUCAUGUCUGUCCUGUCAUGUAUGACCUGGGAGCUCCUUGAUUUGGUCCCCAAGCUCGCUCCCCUCUAUGCCUUUAUUGCAGGCCUCCCUCUCCUCAUCCUAGAGCUAAUCUUACCUCUCCUUCCCCUAGUGCAUUUUCCUGGAGCAGGGGGCCUCCUGCUCUUUGGGUCCCUAAUACCUUUUGGUGAGGUUGGUCCUUUACCUGGGCUCCUUGAUUGGUCCUGGCUCUUUCCCCCUCUUCACCCACAGCGACUCCCCACUGUGCCCUCACAUUGCACUCCUCCUGGCCCCUUUCCCUUGCCAGGCCCUCUGGCCUGGUCUCUGGCCCUCAAUUCUCAUCUGGGCCAGGAUGCCUUAUGGGAAAGAGAAUGACCUUAGACUGAGCUACUUGCUCUCUCUAGGCCCUUGGGACAGCACCAGGAAACCUAACAACUCGCAGUGGCGCUGGGCCUGGAGCCUGCUUCCACACUGCUGGAUCCCCUGCCUUCCCUCCCCAUCCCUGUCCACUUUCCUGAGCCCCCUGACCCAGUGCUGGACCUUGACUUUCCAUUACCUGGACUGGCUACUCACUGGUCCUUCUUGCUCCAUACUUCCCUGGGCUUGAACUGUGGGCCUUGCUGGGGCUUCUUCCCCAAUCCCCUUGUGUCCCUUGCAUCUCAAAAUCCUAGUGCAGCCCCUGUCUGCUUGGCCCCGCCCUUCCCUGCUCUCCUCUAGCAUGGGCCCUCCUCUAGAUCUGUAACCUCAGUUCCUUUCUGCAGUCCUGACCCACACUCCACAAAACCCCCUUCUUCCAGCACUUCAUGCUGUGCCCUCUUUUGGCCCUCUUGUUGUCCUUGUACCUGCUGGACUGCUUUUCCAAAUUCCUUUCACAGGAUGCUCAUAAGAGCCAGGGAAUGGAACUGGGAUGUUUGGCCCUGCAGUCUUCCUUUGGGAAAUGGUAGCAGUGCCCAUUUCCUGGGGGCUUUGGCCUCCUUCAUCCUGGGCCCUGCUCCUCAAUCCUGACACCCUGCACUGAAUCUUGGCCAUGAGCCCUCCUCUCCUGCACCACUCAUUCCUCUUACUCCUUUUUCUCCCGAUAUACCACCACAGCCAGGGUAGAGGGGAUUCACACCUCCAAUCCCCUCUACCCUGGAUAACUUGGUAUACAAGCUCCCUGCAACACACAGGUGGGAAGGGUCUCCUUCCUGGAGGGGUGAGUCCUCUCUACCUUGUCUAGGGCUGUUUAUGAGGCCCCUCAACCAGACACCUAGGUUGGAGGGGUCUUCGCCUGUAGCAGCGAUUCCCCUCUACCCUAGCUGCUGUGGUAAAAGAGCUCUCCCUGACACCCUGGAGAGAGGGGUCUCCUGCCUGGAGGGGCAAGUCUUCUCUACCCUGGCUAAGGAGGUAUACAAGCUCCCAAGGAGAUCCAGGUGGGAGGGGUUUCCUGUCUGGAGGGUUGAGUCCCCACUACCUUGGCUGCAGUGGUAUAAGAGCACCCCCAACAACCAGUUGGGUGGGUUGUCCCGCCUGCAGUGGUGAUUCCAAUUUUCCCUGCCUCUGCGGUAUAUGUGUUCCCCUGACAACCAGGGUUAAGGGUCUCCCACCUAGUG
rnacentral:lncRNA from 1 species